AGUUUCCCAGCUGGAGUUCUCUGGGCCCAGUUGCCUGUGACAUGGGGUUGGGGGUGCUCCAGAAAGUCAUGGCCACCCCUGGAGGAAGUGACUUGUGGCUGACUGCUCAAGGGGAAGUCCUGUGGCGGUGGAGUCGUCAGCAUUCAUUCAAAUAAGGUAAGUGCUUCGGCAGGGAUGAGGGAGGGGCUGAAAGGCUGGGGGUGACUGCGAUGACCUCAAGCUUGAACUGAAACCUCUGGAAGGGCAUUGUAUUCGAACUGUUUAGAUGAUUGCACGGAAUCAUCUCAUUUUUACAUCAGCAGAAGCCUAGGCUCAGAGAGGUGAAGUGAUUUUGUCUGAGGUCACACAGCACGGUAGUGAUUGGGCUGGGUCUGAGGGCCUCUCUGGGGGUGCAUCUGAGGUCUCUGUGCCUCAGGGGAGCGGGAGGAGUGGAGACUGGGGCUGUGGCCAGGCUCUUCCUAGCCUUCCUAGGUGUCUAUCUGCUCUUCAGUGUCAUCUCCACUUUCCUUUCCCUCUGUUUCUUCCUCCUCUGCCUACAACACUCUUAGUUUGUUCUAAAUGCCCCCUUGUCAGAGCUGAGGAACUUGAGGUGACAUGCUGAAGACCCUGGCUGAGGAUCCUGGUUUGACGCAUUUUUCUUGGAACCCUUGGAUGUUCCUGGGGUCCCCAGCGGGAGUUCUGCCUCAUGCCACACGUGGGUUCAGUCCUGCGGAGCCUGGACUCUGGGUUAAGAGAGGACCAUCUGCUACCGGCCCCAGCCCAGAUGAUACAGUUAGAGCCUACCCACAGCAUCCUCCCGCCUUCAGACAGUUCCAGGAACAGGGUGAGUCACGCCCAGCUGAACUCCCAUCUCGCUCACCCGAGAGCUGGACCGGGCGCCGGCAGAGGGGGCCACGCAAGCUCCGUGGAGCAGGUGCACUCUGCCACCUCCCAGAGAUGGGAAGGAGACCCUCGCCCUCUGCCCCAACUGUGCCCAGCACCCUCUGA
rnacentral:lncRNA from 1 species